rnacentral:rRNA from 1 species
UUUGAACGCUGGCGGCAGGCUUAACACAUGCAAGUCGAGCGGAGAGAGGUAGCUUGCUACUGAUCUUAGCGGCGGACGGGUGAGUAAUGCUUAGGAAUCUGCCUAUUAGGGGGGGACAACAUUUCGAAAGGAAUGUUAAUACCGCAUACGUCCUACGGGAGAAAGCAGGGGAUCUUCGGAUCUUGUGCUAUUAGAUGAGCCUAAGGCGGAUUAGCUAAGUGGUGGGGUAAAGGCCUACUAAGGCGACGAUCUGUAGCGGGUCUGAGCGGUGGAUCCGCCACUAUGGGACUGGGACACGGGCCACACUCCUACGGGGGGCAACAGUGGGGAAUAUUAGACAAUGGGCGCAAGCCUGAUCCAGCCAUGCCGCGUGUGUGAAGAAGGCCUUAUGGUUGUAAAGCACUUUAAGCGAGGAGGAGGCUACUUUAGUUAAUACCUAGAGAUAGUGGACGUUACUCGCAGAAUAAGCACCGGCUAACUCUGUGCCAGCCGCCGCCGUAAUAC